rnacentral:rRNA from 1 species
UACGGGGGGGGCAAGCGUUGUUCGGAAUUACUGGGCGUAAAGGGCUCGUAGGCGGCCAACUAAGUCCGACGUGAAAUCCCCAGGCUUAACCUGGGAACUGCGUCGGAUACUGGAUGGCUUGAAUCCGGGAGAGGGAUGCGGAAUUCCAGGUGUAGCGGUGAAAUGCGUAGAUAUCUGGAGGAACACCUGUGGUGUAGACGGCUCUCUGGACAGUAACUGACGCUGAGACACGAAAGCGUGGGUAGCAAACAGG